rnacentral:tRNA from 1 species
GGAGAAGUAUCGAAGUGGUCAUAACGAGAACGACUCGAAAUCGUUUGGGCUUCACGGCCCCAUGGGUUCGAAUCCCAUCUUCUCCG